GCCAAAUGAUGUUUAUUUUGAUGCAGGAGCACUUUUGUGCCAGGACGACUCUAAUCUAUCACCCAUGACUGAUGGCU
ensembl:snoRNA SNORD83 Small nucleolar RNA SNORD83